rnacentral:rRNA from 1 species
GACGGGUAGCCGGCCUGAGAGGGUGACCGGCCACACUGGGACUGAGACACGGUCCAGACUCCUACGGGAGGCAGCAGUGGGGAAUAUUGCACAAUGGGCGGAAGCCUGAUGCAGCGACGCCGCGUGAGGGAUGACGGCCUUCGGGUUGUAAACCUCUUUCAGUAGGGAAGAAGCGAGAGUGACGGUACCUGCAGAAGAAGCGCCGGCUAACUACGUGCCAGCAGCCGCGGUAAUACGUAGGGCGCAAGCGUUGUCCGGAAUUAUUGGGCGUAAAGAGCUCGUAGGCGGUUUGUCGCGUCUGCUGUGAAAGCCCGGGGCUCAACCCCGGGUCUGCAGUGGGUACGGGCAGACUAGAGUGCAGUAGGGGAGACUGGAAUUCCUGGUGUAGCGGUGAAAUGCGCAGAUAUCAGGAGGAACACCGAUGGCGAAGGCAGGUCUCUGGGCUGUUACUGACGCUGAGGAGCGAAAGCAUGGGGAGCGAACAGGAUUAGAUACCCUGGUAGUCCAUGCCGUAAACGUUGGGCACUAGGUGUGGGGGACAUUCCACGUUUUCCGCGCCGUAGCUAACGCAUUAAGUGCCCCGCCUGGGGAGUACGGA